AGGAAUACCGGUGGCGAAGGCGGCCCCCUGGACAGAUACUGACACUCAGAUGCGAAAGCGUGGGGAGCAAACAGGAUUAGAUACCCUGGUAGUCCACGCCGUAAACGAUGUCUACUUGGAGGUUGUGCCCUAGAGGCGUGGCUUUCGGAGCUAACGCGUUAAGUAGACCGCCUGGGGAGUACGGUCGCAAGAUUAAAACUCAAAUGAAUUGACGGGGGCCCGCACAAGCGGUGGAGCAUGUGGUUUAAUUCGAUGCAACGCGAA
rnacentral:rRNA from 1 species